rnacentral:misc_RNA from 1 species
AUUGCAAUGAAUCUCAGUAAUAAUAAUCUGACUGGGAGCAUACCGCCAGAACUGGGCAAUCUUAAUUUGUUGGAGUUCCUCUUUCUCAAUAAUAAUCAUUUGACUGGUGAAAUUCCAGAAACAUUUGAAAAUCUUUCAAGUUUACUUGGGUGCAACUUUUCAUAUAAUAACCUUACUGGACCCUUACCUCCCGUACCACUAUUUCAGAACAUGGCAGUUGGCAGUUUCCUAGGGAAUAAUGGGCUUUGUGGUGGGCAUCUUGGCUAUUGCAAUGGAGAUUCAUUAUCUGUCCCUCCUUUGAAAAGCAUGGAUGCUCCUCAGGGUAGAAUAAUCACAAUUGUUGCAGCUGCUGUUGGUGGAGUUUCUCUGAUUCUAAUUGUAGUAAUAUUAUAUUUCAUGAGACGCCCAGCUGAAUCAGUUCCUUCCAUACGUGACAAUGAAAGUUCAUCUCCAGAAUCGGAUAUCUACUUCCCUCCAAAGGAGGGAUUCACUUUACAAGAUCUGGUUGAGGCCACAAAAAAUUUUCAUGAUAGUUAUGUUGUAGGAAGGGGAGCUUGUGGAACAGUCUACAAGGCAGUUAUGCAUACUGGACAAACCAUUGCUGUGAAAAGACUAGCAUCUGACAGAGAGGGGAGCAACGUAGAGAACAGUUUUCAGGCGGAGAUUGUGACUCUGGGAAAGAUCAGGCACCGGAACAUUGUGAAGCUUUAUGGAUUUUGCUAUCACCAGGGUUCCAAUCUGCUUCUUUAUGAGUACAUGGCUAGGGGAAGCUUGGGUGAACUGCUUCAUGGGCCCUCUUGCAGCUUGGAAUGGCCAACAAGGUACAUGAUUGCACUUGGUGCUGCUGAAGGUCUUGCCUAUUUACAUCAUGACUGCAAACCGAGAAUAAUUCAUCGUGAUAUAAAGUCCAAUAAUAUUCUACUUGAUGAUAAUUUUGAAGCUCAUGUUGGUGAUUUUGGUUUGGCUAAAGUAAUUGACAUGCCUCAGUCUAAAUCAAUGUCAGCAGUUGCAGGGUCAUAUGGGUAUAUUGCACCUGAGUAUGCGUACACAAUGAAAGUAACAGAAAAAUGCGAUAUCUAUAGCUAUGGAGUUGUUCUGUUGGAACUGCUGACUGGUCUAACUCCUGUACAGCCACUAGAUCAAGGAGGUGAUCUUGUCACUUGGGUGAGAGAUUACGUUCACGACCACUCAUUGACACCUGGAAUACUUGACAGUAGAUUAGAUCUCAAAAGAUCAAAGUACUGUUGAUCACAUGAUUAGUGUAAUGAAAAUUGCUUUGAUGUGCACAAGCAUGUCACCUUUUGACCGGCCAUCGAUGCGGGAAGUUGUAUUGAUGCUUAUUGGGUCUAAUGAGCGAGAAGGGAACUUCAUUUUGUCUACAAUUUAUGAUCUUCCACUGAAGGGUGAUUCUUCAUGAAAGUAAGCUACCAUUUCCUCCCCAUAUUAUUUGCAACAGCAAAUGGUGGUAUCUUGUACAUUCUUUUAUAAGCAAAUAGCAUUACUGGAUUUUUCUGUUACUCAUUGGGAGUGAGAUCAUUGUUACUCCCACAUUCUAUAUUUCCUCUUGCAAUUACUAGAGUAUAGCAACNNUGUACAGAUGGAAGUACCAUUAUACAUGUAUCUCAGAGAUCCAGAUGUUAUCAUAACUCAACAGCUGGUACUUAUUAUUUUUGUUCUUAAUAAAUCUGGAUAAUAUCAUAAUAGGUACUCUUGAUUUUGCAAUCUAAUAUAUGAAGUUACAAUGGCAAAAGCAUUUUAA